UGGUUCUGGCAUCGAUGAAGAACGCAGCGAAAUGCGAUAAGUAAUGUGAAUUGCAGAAUUCAGUGAAUCAUCGAAUCUUUGAACGCACAUUGCGCCCAUUAGUAUUCUAGUGGGCAUGCCUGUUCGAGCGUCAUUUCAACCCUCAAGCCCUAGUUGCUUGGUAUUGGGAGCCUGCCGGUAGGCAGCUCCUUAAAGCUAUUGGCGGAGCCGCGUUGGCCCUAAGCGUAGUAAUUGUUCCUCGCUUCCGGUGUCCCAGUGCUGGCGUCUAGCCGUAAAACCCCCUAAUUUUUUAAUGGUUGACCUCGGAUCAGGUAGGAAUACCCGCUGA
rnacentral:misc_RNA from 1 species